rnacentral:lncRNA from 1 species
GGAGGGUUUGGGGUAGAUGGGAGGUGGGAUGAGAAGGGAAUAAAAGUUUUAGGGAAAAGUGGGAGGGAGUAAAAAUUUUGGGGGAAAAUAAAAGGUUUUGAGGGUUUUUAGGAGUAAAAUUUUGAGAAAAAGUAAAUUGAAGAGUAAAAUUUUGGUGGGAAAUGGAUUUUGGGUAGAUUGGGGGGUUGGGAGGGGAGGGGAGUAUAAGUUUUGGGGGGAAAGUGGGAAGGAGUAAAAGUUUUGAGGGAAAAGUAAAAAAGGUUUGGGAGUUUGGGGUAAAAAUGUAAAAUAUUAUAGUUUGAUAUUCGAAUUCGAAAACUCAACACGAUUCGAACUUGAAAUUUGAAAAAAAAUUCGAGUUGAUUCGAAUAACUCGAUUAACUCGAAUAACUCAAUUCGUUUAACUCGAAAUUCGAAUUUUU